rnacentral:rRNA from 1 species
AACAGGAUUAGAUACCCUGGUAGUCCACGCUGUAAACGAUGGAUACUAGCUGUUCGACGCAAGUUGAGUGGCUAAGCGAAAGUGAUAAGUAUCCCACCUGGGGAGUACGCUCGCAAGGGUGAAACUCAAAGGAAUUGACGGGGGCCCGCACAAGCGGAGGAGCAUGUGGUUUAAUUCGAUGAUACGCGAGGAACCUUACCAAGGCUUAAAUGGGAGUCGACAGGCGUAGAAAUAUGCUUUUCUUCGGACGAUUUUCAAGGUGCUGCAUGGUUGUCGUCAGCUCGUGCCGUGAGGUGUCAGGUUAAGUCCUAUAACGAGCGCAACCCCUGUUGUUAGUUGCCAGCGAGUAAUGUCGGGAACUCUAGCAAGACUGCCGGUGCAAACCGUGAGGAAGGUGGGGAUGACGU